CGAACGCUGGCGGCAGGCCUAAUACAUGCAAGUCGAACGGCUCUUCGGAGCAGUGGCGGACGGGUGAGUAACGCGUGGGAAUGUGCCCUUAGGUACGGAACAACACAGGGAAACUUGUGCUAAUACCGUAUGUGCCCUUCGGGGGAAAGAUUUAUCGCCUUUGGAGCAGCCCGCGUUGGAUUAGGUAGUUGGUGAGGUAAAGGCUCACCAAGCCGACGAUCCAUAGCUGGUCUGAGAGGAUGACCAGCCACACUGAGACUGAGACACGGCCCAGACUCCUACGGGAGGCAGCAGUAGGGAAUCUUGCGCAAUGGGCGAAAGCCUGACGCAGCCAUGCCGCGUGUAUGAUGAAGGUCUUAGGAUUGUAAAAUACUUUCACCGGGGAAGAUAAUGACGGUACCCGGAGAAGAAGCCCCGGCUAACUUCGUGCCAGCCGCCGCUGUAACAC
rnacentral:rRNA from 1 species